rnacentral:lncRNA from 1 species
GGGCUGCCCCACGUCCAUCGCACCAGGACGCUGCCGCGGCUGCUGGAUUGUGGUGCUGGCAGAGAGCGUCCUCCUCUUCGGUCGAUUUGGCUAAUGGCUCUUCAGAGAGGUGCUUACGACUGCUUCUGUAAACACAGACGUCAGGUGCCCCGUUUCCUCAUGGCCUAGACCUCCUCCUCCAUCCAUCGCCAGAAACCUGCUGGAACCCGGGGUGAUGAAACCUCUGAGCCAUCUCAGCUCCCACUAACUCACUGGUGCUGAUUGACCGGAAAGGCCGGCUUCUCCCUUUGAGGCUAUUUCUGUAAAGUUCACCAAUGAAUCACACAUAUCAAACAAAUGGCCGCGGAGUCUCCUCGACAGGGAGACAAAAGCUACCCAGGCAGGAGCAGACGUGCUGUUCCCUGAGAAGUCGGUAGAAAGUUGCACAAAGCUUUCCACGCUGUGCAGGGCUGCUCCUGGAGUGGUGCACGGAAGGCUCUAGUUUACCAAACUGUCUGAGGUGGCCUUCUGGUCUGAGCUCCUCCCAAGGGAGCGCCUGUGUUGCUCCCCUCCACCCUCCCUCCCCUUCCUCCCAGCCCUCUGGGCUCAGAGGCCUCCAAGAGCAAGAGGCAUGUAGAAUAAGAAACAACUACCUCAAGAUUUUGUAAUUAAAUAAUUAGACCAAUUACUCAUAUAAAGUGAAUAAUUUACUUUCAUCCGAAUUAUCCAAAUGCUUUGCAUUCAAUGUUUUUUUUUUAAUUUUUGUUUUUAUGGCAGUAACAUUGGAUUAUAACAUUAUUUAACUUUCAGAAGUACAUCAUAAUAUAUUUUGAAUUCUGUGUAGAUUACGUCAUGUUCACCACCCAAAGACUAAUUAUAAUCCAUCACCACACGUGUGAGCCUAAUCACCCCUUUUGCCCUCCACCCUCCCCCCUUCCCCUCUGGUAACCAUCAAUCCAAUCUCUGUUGCUAUGUGUGUGUUUGUUGUUGUUUUUAUCUUCUACUUGUGAGUGAGAUCAUAUGGUAUUUGACUUUCUCCCUCUGACUUAUUCCACUUAGCAUAGUACCCUCAAGUGGUAUGCAUAAUUCCCUCAAGGUCCAUCCAUGUUGUCACAAAUGGCUGGAUUUCAUCCUUUCUUAUGGCUGAGUAGUAUUCCAUUGUGUAUAAAUACCACAUCUUCUUUAUCCAUUCCUCCCUCGAUGGGCACCUAGGUUUUCUUUUUAUAACUUCAAUUAUAUGAAUCCUUGGCUCAAGUAAUUUUGGGUGAGUAGGGAUUGCCUAAAUUUUUAAAUGUAAUAGGUCCAACAUAGAAGUAUUUGAUCUGACAUCCUGCACUAAGUGAAUUUCAAGCUCCUCCCGGGAAUAUAUGGAAUGAAGAGAAAAGGGCUCGCUGUCGUCUGGAGCAGUUCAGCCCUGUCCUCACUGGACUGUGUUAGCACGUGUUUUUGCAUAAGAUCAGCUAAUAUCCUUCUAUGCCUGUAAUGACUUAUGUUUUUAGACAUGAUCAUUUCUUUGAUUAUUGUUAUCUUCUUAGCACAGUGGUGGGCAUGUCUGUGGCACUCAGUCAAAAUGUACUGGAGAUUGGUUUAAAAAGUAUGAUAUUCUACUAGGUGGAUUAAAUAAAUACCAGCUUCUCUUACUGCCUACUAGUAAUAAUAGCAUGAUGUAUGAUCAUGGAACAGUAACAGUAAGACUUGGUUUGUGAUGGGCUUUCUCAAAAAUAAGCAAAUAAUGGGCCAUUUUAAAAGCCUCAAACACAUUAAAGGCAUCUGUUUCUUAAUUGCCCUGAAAAUCCCUCUCAGUCCGGGUGUUGUAAGUGGGGCUUCCCUAAAAAUGUGCAAGAGUUCAAAACUGACCACAAAUGAGCCAAAGCAGAGUAAAGUAGAA